rnacentral:rRNA from 1 species
AACUUCGGGAUAAGGAUUGGCUCUGAGGAUAAUUUUCGUGUGGGGUGGUUCCGGCGAUGACGGCCGAGCCAGUUGUGGUCUGCUUGCUUCGGCCUGCGGAUCGCUUCUCAGCGAAGCCUGAUUCUGUUCGGACCGCCACUCUGCACAUGUUUAUGGCAACAUAAUCACAAAUCAACUCUGAACUGGAGCAGACUAGGGGAAUCCGACUGUUUAAUUAAAACAAAGUGUUGUGAUGGCCUCAGCAGGUGUUGACACAACUUGAUUUCUGCCCAGUGCUCUGAAUGUCAAACUGGAGAUAAUAUGAGAAGCACAAAUUCAAGCAAGCGCGGGUAAACGGCGGGAGUAACUAGGACUCUCUUAAGG